AGCGAACGCUGGCGGCAGGCCUAACACAUGCAAGUCGAACGGAUCCUUCGGGAUUAGUGGCGGACGGGUGAGUAACACGUGGGAACGUUCCCUUUGGUUCGGAACAACUCAGGGAAACUUGAGCUAAUACCGGAUGUGCCCUUCGGGGGAAAGAUUUAUCGCCAUUGGAGCGGCCCGCGUCUGAUUAGCUAGUUGGUGAGGUAACGGCCCACCAAGGCGACGAUCAGUAGCUGGUCUGAGAGGAUGAUCAGCCACACUGGGACUGAGACACGGCCCAGACUCCUACGGGAGGCAGCAGUGGGGAAUCUUGCGCAAUGGGCGAAAGCCUGACGCAGCCAGGCCGCGUGAAUGAUGAAGGUCUUAGGAUUGUAAAAUUCUUUCAGCGGGGACGAUAAUGACGGUACCCGCAGAAGAAGCUCCGGCUAACUUCGUG
rnacentral:rRNA from 1 species